rnacentral:rRNA from 1 species
UACGGAGGGUGCAAGCGUUGUCCGGAUUUAUUGGGUUUAAAGGGUGCGUAGGCGGGCAGGUAAGUCCGUGGUGAAAUCUCUGAGCUUAACUCAGAAACUGCCAUGGAUACUAUUUGUCUUGAAUAUUGUGGAGGUAAGCGGAAUAUGUCAUGUAGCGGUGAAAUGCUUAGAUAUGACAUAGAACACCAAUUGCGAAGGCAGCUUACUACACAGUUAUUGACGCUGAGGCACGAAAGCGUGGGGAUCAAACAGG